UCCUGCUGACCCAUAAAUUUGUUGCAGGAAACACUUGAUUUCCCAGAAGCAAGUAUAGAUUUAGAGUUUAGCUACAUAGAUGGGCAACUGCAUCAUAGAAUACCAAGAAGUGCAGGUACAGAGCUACUGGAGUUCAUUGUGGUUAUUGAGGUGAAUGCAUCACUAGCUGUUGUGAUUGAACAGAUCAGAGCGUCAUUGGCCUCCAUUACGUUUCCUCUUCAACUUGAUAACAGCACUGA